GAGAAAGAAACAGGGUAGCUGAACAGACACUCAAUUAUAGGGGAAGGGCCAUCUUCCAGAGGUACGUAGGGAGAAAAAUGGCAUUCGGCUUGAACUCUGCUCCUUCUUUAUCAUCAGCUGAGCUGGACCUGCAGAACUUCCUGUGGGUUUUGCAGAAUCAAUGGAGAUUGGAUAACAGAGGAGAGAGAAGGUAGCAUUUAGGAAAGGAAAGCAUGUGUGCACAGGAGCUGGAAUGGACAUGGGACUUUCAGAGGUGGCAAGGCUUGACCAAAACAAGAGACAGUUGGAGGAAUCAAAGGAAAAGACUGAAGGAAAGGAGGAACACUGUAAUGUUUUUGAGAAGAAGGUGUUGAAGGAACCUCAGUCUUGCAGUUGUGGGCUGAGCUAUUGCAGAGAUGAGAACCUGGGGCAAGAGAUGAUAAUGAGAGAGUAGAACCAGUUGGUAUAGAAUUACUCUACAACAGAAAGGAGCAUUCUAGCAAACAUCUAUUCCUGAUACUGCAAGUUAGAUUUUAUUAUACUUUAAAAGGAAGAGAGGAGGUAUCUCUCAAAAAGACAUGAACACAGACCAACAACAGAGGUAUGGUCAGAGUUUUCCAAAUGAGGGAAUUUCCAAUAAGGAGUUCACAAGUAUAAAUGAAGAAAUGAUAAACAAAUCAAACAUUUGGGAACAAGAUAAUUCCAAAAUCUGUAAAGUUGAUUCAGAAAUCUCUGUUUGGAAAUAAUAUUAUUUAUUUCCCAAUUCAACAUUUUUCACAUGGUGUAAGCAAAAUGAAAACAGUCUGGAAAUAAUAAAUGAGGGCUGUCUUUCUAGGGGAAGAGGUGGGUAAUGGAUGAGGCUUCAAUCUGUGCUCUGCUCAGGGGCUGUUCCGUUUAGUCCUGGCACUUCUGCAGUGAUGAAGGUCUUUUCCUCACUCAAACUCCACUUUACAAUGGUUUCUCUGGGGACCGUGGCUGAGUGACAUUUACUAUCCUCAAUUCAAGUUAACAGAUUGCCCUCAAAGACCUGGAAUUUACACUGCACAACUACGGGGUCACAAGGUGGCUGCUGCUUUCUCCACUACUCAUUGGACCCUCAGUGAGUCCCUACUACAUGCAGCCCCUCAGGGAGAGGAUGCAGAGCACUUGUUCUGAAGAUGCUGCUAGUCCAGGAAAGCCAUAAAGAGUUAGAAGUGUGAUAAGGACUCAGAGCCAGAGUGUCCUCUGGGACCUUGAAGGCAGGUAUGCCCUGUUCCCAUUAGAGACCUUGUGGUGGCUGUGAAAUGCACCUCUCAGAGUUCCUACUCCUUGAAGAGUAAUUAACUAACAGCUCCAGUUCCUGCACUCUGCAGUCCAUCACCAUAUUCACACAGAGGCCCUGAUUCCCACAGGCUGCUCCCAGCCAAUGAAUGAGAGCAGCAGGGAUGCCAUGGCAGACCCAUUCCUGCGAUAUAUGGGACUACUCUGAUGGGCAACUUCCAAUCAGAGACUCCCCAGUGGCCUUUCCAACACUACCUUAUAACCCCCACAGCAAGCUAAAGCUCUUCCUACCCUACCCAAUCCUCCUUCCUUCCCUCUCUCCUUUACAGAGAUCAGACCUUUCUUAUGGUCUGAUGGCUUUCCCAGCCUCCUCUGACUCCCAUCUCAUUUCCCCAGUAAAUCUUUCAUACAUCUAAUCCCAUCUUUGUGUCUGCUUCAUGGAGGGUCUGAAUUAAUGUAGUUUUGAUUCCCCCUACAACUUCCCUGUUGGGAAUUUGCUGCCAAGCUCCUGCUGUACCCCCAGAGAGGGGAGACUUCUUGCCUCCAGGAGCUGCUGUUCUAUACUUAGGUAAGUCUCACCAAUUUACAUAUCUUCCGAUCUUUAUUUGAAAGUUAUCUUCUUCCCACUGUUUUCCUUUCUACCAACUGAAGUAAGAAAGGAUGUUCCCCCUCCCACAAAAUGUCUUGUCAAAUAUCUAAGGAAACUAGUUAGAUCUUCCUUGAGCUAUUCCUGCUGAAAAAAAAAUAGUCAAAUAUUUCUCCCAUGACCAUUACAUGCCACCCAAGAUGGCUCUUUUCCAAAUGAGACCAUGUUCCCUAAAUUCUCCUUAGGCUUGGGGCUUGGAAGUGAAUCCAAUUCUCUUUCCACUAUUUGAGCAGCAAAGAUUAGAAUAAAACUAAUAUCUAUCAUGAUCUGUGUAUUAUAUAUCUAUUAAUAUGACCGAUAGCCUUUGGAUCAAAAACAUGUCCCUGCUGUUCAGUCCUGAAAUGGCAGUUAUAUAUAACCUUUAGGUUUCCCCAUGGUAUGCUCCUCAUCUUUUGUCUGUAGAGUUGGCUUUUGGCUUUGACUAUGAGAAUGUACAUGUAUCUCAACCUUUACGGUGUUAAAUUUGGCCUAUUGGUUUAGUAAGUGGAAAUAAUUUAUCUUGAUUAAGCUGUCAAGUGUAUUUUUUCUUGCCUGCAACUUAGUAGUAUCUAUAACCCAGGUUAAUUAAUUAAUUAAACAUAUUUAUUGAGCAUCUGUCAAGUACCAGUCACUUUUUAGGUUCUAGAGGCACCAUAGUGAACAAAAUAAAAUUUCUAGCCCUCAUAGAGCUUACUUUCUAGUGGGGGGAUUCAGCAGAGACUAGAGCUAAUAAAUGAAUCAUAAGCUGUGUUAAAAUAUAUUAAGUACAUGAAAAAAUGGAAAGGGGAAAGGGACACAGGAUGCCAGAGGUGAGAGGUGUGUGAUCAGGGAAGGCUGCCUGAGAAGCAGAUGCAGGAGCACAGGGUUGAAGGAGGGAAGGGAGGGAGCUGAGUGGGUAUCUGGAGCAGCCAGGACAAAGGGGCUGAUCUGGGGGCAUCAGGGAGUCAGUGGGACCCAGAAGAGAGGAGUCCACAGGGGGCAGGACCCUGAGGGACACUAGAAGGAGUUUGGCUUCUACCCUGAGCAAGCUGGAGGGCCAUAGGAGGACUGUCAACAAGGCACGGUGAUGUAAUCUGACUUAUAUGAUACUAUUAUCACUCUCUGCUGUGCUCCAAAUAGAAUGCAGGGGCCAUGUAAAAGCAGGAAGCCAAUCACAGCACUGCUGUAGUAAUAUAGCUGGGAAACAAUGGCUGCUAAGACCUGGCCUGAGCAGCACAGUAGGCAGAUUCUGAAUCUAUUUAGAAUAUUUCCAUGAAUAUGGGAUGUGGAAGAAACAGAAGAGUCAAGUGACUACAAGGGUUUUGGCCUAAACAUCUGGAAGAAUGGGGCUGCCAUCAACUGAGAACAGGGAGACAUUUCUAGAAGCAGUUUGAGAGGAGAGCCCAGGUGCUCCACUUCAGACCUGUUAGAUUUGAGAUGUCCAAGGUGUCCCAGAGCAGAUGCUGAGUACCAGAUAGGUGCAUAAGGUCCAUGUUGGAGACCAAUGUGGAGUCACCAAUAUUUCACAGAUAUUGAAAUAAGUGGAACUUGCAGAGAUCACCAAGAGAAUCAAUAGAUAGAAAAAAUUCAAGAUUCAGAAGAUGAGGAGAAAACACUAAAGAGGCCUGAGAAGGAAAAGCCACCAAUGAAGCAGAAGAAAAACCAGGAGAGUGUGAUCGCCUAGAAACCAAGUGGAAAUAAGGUGCUCCCAGGAGGACAGAAUACGUUAAAUGCUGUUGCUAAGUCAGGUAAAAUGAAAGUAAGAGCUGAGUCCUGGACUUAGCAACAAGGCUUGAUGGUUAAAUAUGUGAAUGGCCUGUGAUCAUCUUUCCCAACACCUUGCAAUCACGGGACAGAGUCAUGGGGGAGGAUAAAGACAGUUCAGGGAAGGCGAGGCAGUUUUCUGGAAUCAGUCCAGAUCAUUUGAGGAUCCCAGUGGGUCCACAAAGACAGGGUGAACAAAUAGCUCCUGACAGUUCUUUCCUUCCACUGCACGCUGUGACUCUCAGGCUGCCCUUGCAGACCUCUGCGGAGGCACAAUUUACAUGUUGUGAAUCACGUCAGUUUCAUACAGGACUUCAGAGUCCCUCUGUCUUGAGAGCUGAAACAUCAUGUAUUUAAAAAAUGGAAAGAUCAAUGCUAAUGGCCUGAGGAUUUUGCCGGGCUUGGUUCUUCUCCUUGCCUCUACUCUCUGGAAAGCCAUCAUUAAAAACUCAAGAUAUUUGCCAAACACUGUGCCAGUCCUGUUCUAAGCACUGGGGACAGAAGAACAAGUAAGAAAGUCACAGCCCUGCACUUCUGUGCAGGAGUCUAGUUGGGGUCAGAUGGUAAAGAGGCAAUCACAGGGCAGAGUGAUCCAGAGGCAACUGACAGUGAAAUCCAUGGAGAGAAACGCUCCUGUCACUACACAUGGUAUGGACUCCCCAGCAGUCAGCGGCACUCGGGUCUGGGAAGAGCUGCCAGAGGGUGAUGGCCAUCCCUGCCUGUAUUUCUCAGAUUCAUGGCAAUGACAUGAGGGUUACAGGCCCUGUGGAAGACUGUGUAUUCUCACACAGGUCAUUCUAAAUGGUUUACAUUUUAUUACGAUGGGAUUUAGCACAUGGGAGAAAGCAAGAAAGCAUUUCUUAUCCUCCCUGAAAAUCACGGGCAGCUUAUGUUCAGUGCUCUGCCAUCAACAGUCACCUGCAGUGAUGAAUUUGGUUUUUCCCUCUCCAAGGGCAAAUGUCACCUCUUGAUCUGUUGUUUUAUGUGCUAUGAAACUUUCGGACAAAACAGAAAAUAAUAAGAAUGAGCUCUGGUAUUCACUCAAACACCAACUUCUUCUAGCAAAACUAAAGCUAAAGAUUAAAGAGGGAUGAGAAGAUUAAUUCAAAGAAGUAUCCCCUUUUGCCCCCAUAUACAAUGGUUUUCACAGUAAGUCCUGGCUAAUUGUCUUUUCUCUAUAUUCCUCAGAUGAAGGGAUAGUUUGCUUGAACAUCUGAAAGAGUCUCUUUUUGGCAAACACACAUAAAGGUUUUGAAUAAAUUACACAUUCUACUGAGAGAAAGAAAUGAAAAUAAAGAGUUCACAAGAUUAUUCAAAUUUAGCAAAGAAACAAAUAUGGACCCUUCUUCAGAAAACGUAAGCAGAAAGACUUAGUUUGGGGUUACUUGGAAAGAACCUGAUGAAGUUUCAAGAAAGAUGUGUGAGGUCUAAAGAGGCAGUGCCCGGUAAAUCCAAAUGGAAUCAAAGGUGCCCUGCACCCUUUCUUAGCAAAUGAAGAGGCUGACCCAACAGAGUACAGGCACCCAAAUAGGAGAGCAAAGAGCAAAGAAGAGUGUCAUCAGACUCCAAGGAAAAAUCAACUAGGGUUCAAACAGAAUCAGAAUGAGAGUGUCGAAGAAGAGAGUUAUAGCCAACAAUAAAAGGCCUUGUAAAUGUGUCAGAAGCAGAAAGAGAAUUAAAACAUCACUGGUCAAGGGGCUCUGGGAUGGAGAAAAACAAAGGCAGGCUGAGUGAGUGAGUCCUUUGUCUCUGUUUUUGCCACCAAAGACUUUGGGGAAAACUUACUCUCAAAUUGCUUUUAAAGCAGACAGAUCCAAGAUAGUAUAUCACAUACAGCAGAGGAAGAGCACAGAAUGUUCUUGCCUGAAUUGACAAAGGAGAUGUGAAUAAAUUACAGGGACAGGAUGGCCCUAGCUGCAAGUUGUGAAAGAGCUCACAGAUGACGUGGAACAAAUGUUGGCCCAAACUAGUCACUGACCACUGGUCACUGCCAGUAGUAUCGAAGAUGCAGCCUGGCAGACCACCAGACAGCCCUCCAUUUGUACAAACGGUCCCAAAGGGAACUGUGAAGUCCCAGGAGACUCAGGCUGGGUCUGAGAUGGUGGCAUGACUCUAUCUCAAAAGUUAAUAACCCAGACUCUGGAUCCUAGAGUUCUGAUGUGCAGGAGUUUUACUGUCAUAUCACAGGUUCACGUGGGCCAAGCAUUUUAUGUUUAUGACAUUCCUUGACACUUUAAUUUAGUUACCGACUCAGUUAUCUUCAAAGGUUUCUUCUUACUCAUUUUGUUUUCCUUAUCUGAUAGGGGCAUCCUCCUCCAACAAUUAAGCAUCUCAGAUUCCAAAAAUACAAGAUUUACUUGAUGCUUUUUUUCUAGGACAAUUACUAAGUUUUAAUACAUUACAAUGCUUAUUAAAAAUACUUCACAAUCUUUUAGUUGAUUUUUGUGCCAAAAUACUUCUUUCAACAGUUUUAACCAUAAUCAGUUUUGGGACCUAACAAAUGAUAUAACAGUUUACUGUGUUAAAAUUAACGUACAUACACUCAGACUUCAGUUGAUCUAUUGGAGUAAAAUGUUUAAAGAGGUUAUAAAAUUAUGAAACUCAGAUUUCAGAGUUCAGCAAAUCUUAUCUAAAAGGGAAAACAGUGUUGUGUGUGUGGGUGGAAAUUGUGACGGGGACAGCCUUGUUUGAGGACAUCUCUUGCCAGCUCUAGGAAGAUGUAGGUCACAGCUGAGCUGCCUCUGCCUUAGCUUGGGCAAAUGCUCUAGCAACUCUUCUAGACGGCAAAUGCUGUUUCCAGUGAGAGAACAGCGUUUCCCAGCCAAAUCAUCCUUGGACUAACUACCUGUGAUCUAUAGCACAGACCAUAGCUGUGAAGAAAACGGGUAAGGUACCCAACUAGACGCCUAUCUGGACACAAUAGUCAACAGGAUGGAUACAGGGCGUUCUCUCCUGGAGAUGCCAGUCAGUUCAUGGAGUUGACUUGACUUGCCACAGGAGCAUGGAGGAUGGAUCACCUGCACCCUCCUCCCUCCCAUCCUCUUUGCCUCUUUAUGAGAUGCCUCUUUAUGGGAUAGCUCACAAGGUGAACAGCAACUAUCUAAUAAUCCAACUGGUGUCCCCUCUCCAAUAAGGGUUAUAACAAUCUCAUGUGGAUAUGAGAUCCUUACAGGGUAAGAAAUUUCCUCCAGUCUCAUUGUCAGUAGCCAUUUUUACUCCUGAAGCUAUGUACUUGGAGUGCCUGGACCAAGAUGGAGUAAACAAGCAAAUAGGUCCCUGAGUCCUGUGGGCACUCUGGUACUCCUAGCAGAGUGAAGGCUGUUCUGGAGCUAUUAGCAGCAUCACAAGCCACUGCUCACAACCUGGAAGGAGAAUUCCCAUACCCAACCACUGUGUGUCCCAGCGUGUGAUAUCCAUCCACAAGGAGUUCAUUCAAACUGGUCUGUUGAACAAUAAAAUAUCCCAUCAAACACAUUGUCACUGUAUAGCAACAUCCACCACAAACUGAAAUGCUCUCUGGCAACGACACGUGGUUCCAUCCUAACUUUUGAAAUGUAAGAAUGGGCACCACAGAAGAGGGUGGUACCAAGAGCCCAGCUGAGGGUCCUGCACCCCAUCAAGUCACUUCCCAAUCAGUCACCUGCUUACUUUGUGACUUUUCUGGGCCUCUGAUCCCAGUCUCAGUGAGUGCUGUCGACUAGAAUGCAAGCUCCACAAAGGCACAGAUUUUUGUCUGUUAUGUUUGCUGCUGUGUUCCCAGUGUCUAGAGCAGUAUAUGGCAUGCAGAAAGGCCUUGAAAAAUAUUUGACGAGUAGGCGAAUAAAUGGGAGCCCCUAAAAAGCAGUACCCUUGAGCCAGUACUUGCAAGCAGUACUUGGUGAGCAGUCAUAAAGAAUGUGUUAAGUGAAUGAAUACAUUUCCAAAGUUAAAAUGCCCAAACAAACCAAUCCCUUUGAGAGUGGUUGAGUCUCUUCUGUGUUCCUCUGAGUGGAUCAGGGCUUGUAGCAUCAUCCUAAGCAACAUUCCCUAAGUUUUCCUGCAAGGAGCCACAGUGGAGGAAGACUCCAGAUUACAUGACUAAUCUGGGAGGGAUAUUAAGAUGUUACCUGUGGGUCACCAGGACACAUUCUCAUCACCACUCCCCAGCCAAACACUUACAUACUAAUGCUCAUCUGUGGGGACUGAAGCCAUCUGGCAAAUAUUUAUCAAGGCUCUCUGUGCCUGGCAUUGUGCGGCUGCUCUCUCAGGAAACUGGUGGUAGGUGAGAAAGUGUGACUCUCCACAUAGCUCACCAUCUGGUGGAGGACUGCGAGGUUGCCAAGGAUAGAAGCCAGGACAUUGGUCAGGGGCAGUGCCAUCUGCCGACCCUCUGAGCUCAACGGAGAACACAUCAUUGUUUGCAAAUGGCCAGGGCCUUUCUGAGGCCACUUGGAAGUUCCUUCCCAAUGCCAGAGCUUAAGAAACAAUAAAAACAAAAUUUUCUAGAAUUAACAAUGAGAAGAAAGCAAUGAAACAAACUAUGAAAUUGAAUUAAGAACAGUGAAAAUUUUAUUUGCUUAAGUUUUUUUUAACUUUUCUUUAUUAACUUCGAUGAAAGUUUUCUUUCAAGUCCUUCUAGUCUUUAAAGUUCUCACUCAAUCUUUUCUCUGUGUUGGAGCAAAUUUUGCCUGCUAAUUUCCAAUAAGCACAGCCCUUAAAAAUGAACUGGCUUCAGCAUAUGGAUCUUAACACUCCACAUUUUUACAGGCAGCAGUGUAAUAUUGUUUUAAUAUUUAAUUUUGAGAUUUACAUAAUAUCUUUCCUCCAAAGAGCUCAAUAUAUUGCAAUAUCAUAAAAUUCCUUUUCAUAUUCAAAGAUUAUUCUUUAUGCAUGCAAAUACUAUAUUUAACCAAGGAAUAAUGCAAAUUAGGUGAUGUAUUCAGAGGAAUUGAUGGGCUAGGUAAUUCUUUUGUAAGAAAAUUAGUGUAUCUGAGUGAUUUUAACUGUCUAAGAACUUCAAAAGUGCCUUAAAAAUGGACAAACUAUAGGGGCUUGUAACUAUUAACAGAAAUAGUGCAGCAUUUUUAAAAGAAAAGUAAAUAAUGGGUUGUGUCUGUGUUGUGGGCAUGAUGGAUAGUAUUCCACAUGGAAGUGGCACGCAGGCCAUACAUGAACUGCAUGUAAUAUAAAUGUCAGAUAUAAAUUGUGCUGAUAAGAUCAUGCAAGUGAGGGGAAAAUUGUUGCUUCUUCAAAUACACAAUGAGGAAAGAUAGAGAGGCUCCUCUGAGCAUCAGAAUCAUCCAAUGGCAGGUACCUAGGUUCUGGGCUCCACUUCCUACCUCAUCAUUAGCUCACUGGGAUACAGACUUUGCUACUUUCGUUUCUGGUGCCUACCCCUCCCAGCACAGACUGGAGAAACCAAUAUCUGUUAUGUAUCUGAUACAGAUAACAUCAGUCCCAAACAAAGAAACUGUGAAGGCUUGGAAGGAAACAGUCUAGGGAGAAAAAAUACGGCAAAUUGCUCUCUAGCUGAAGACAUAUUCCCAGAAAUGAUGCUAAUCUCUCAGUCCAUAGCAUAGUUUACAGAGUGAUUUUCUAUCUGCUCUCUCAUUUGCUUGUCCCUAUAGUACUAGGAAGCAGGUAUCAUGACACCUGUUUUAUAGGCAAGAAAUGAGGGAUCUUGCCAGUUAAAUGAACUUGCAUGAUUCAUGUGAGGAGCAGAGAGGGGAAGCAACCCCAGGAAUACCCCACAGCACUCUGCCACCAUGAGCCCAGAGGUGAGGAAGAUGACUGCCCCGUGGUGGAAUGAGAAUGGAAAACAGAGCAUGCUUGGCAGUAAGACUUGGGUUAAUCAGAUUCACCCUCUGAAUCAGAGGUUACAAACCAUCGCCAACAGGCUAAAUCCAGAAUUGGAUUUCUUUGGCUCUCAAGUGCUUUAAAAUUUUCUAAUCAGUUGUCAACAUUUUAAAUCUGGAUUUUCAGCUUAUAAAAUCAGGCAGUGCUGGGCAUGCAACUCUUGCUGGAGCUGAACAAUGGCUGCCUCUAAAGUUCCCUGCAGUCCCCACCACUCUCUAUUGCCUUGUACCUGGCUCUGCUUUGCUCCUCUCCAUUACCUGCCUGGCCUUAGGGGUCUUUGAGUUUGUUCUCUGGCUUAGAUGGUCCCAAGCUCAUGUGCUGGUCUGAUUCAUCUUUUAUACCCCCAAGAUUUCCUCUGAGGUCUUCUUUUCCAACUUUGACACUCCGAGUCUAUUUGACAGAAGAGAGAAGUAAAGUUUGUCAUUCACUUAAUUCUCUCUGACAGCCAGAUGAUCCGGCCAUCAGUCUGAAUCUGGGGCCAGAUGCCAGAGAGUGACUGCAGGAGUUAGUGGUGAUAACAAUCUCUCUGCAGAUCACUUGGCCACUGGAACAGAGAGAGUUGCACCUGAUCUGGUCUAUUUUAAACUCAUGGCAGCUGUAUUCAGUGCAAGGAUGUAUCCCUGAAGACCUCACAUAAAUCUGAGCUUGCAUAAUUCAUGACCAAUCCUGACCAAAGAUGAUGGACAGUUUUUGACAGCUAAAAUGGCCUAGCAAUGUGGCAACAGCUUAGAGAGAGCUUACGACUUACACAGUCCACUAUAAUGUGAUUUUUCAUCAGUCUGAGGAUAAAAUGGCCACAAAACAUCUCACAGCCAAGAAAUGAUGUUUCUCAGAAAUAUCUGCAGCCUAGGGAGGUGCAAAUGAUGUUUCUUAGAAUCCUUUGUUGGCUGUGAGAUGCUGAGCAAAUUCAAAACUGCUCUGACCUAAGUUUCUUCAUCUGACCCACCUUCUCUGUAAAAAGAACAGAAACAAAAACAAAAACAAAACACUUGGUAGGGGUUGGCACAUUGGAGGUGCUCAAAGAUGUCAGUUCUCUGCCACUGCCUUUGGACUGGGUAAGGAUCCAGUCCUGAAACUCUCCAAGUGAUACCUGGUCCUUGAAUAGUCAUGACUAUAUACAUAAUUGGGGUCAUGAUGGGAGAAGAUGAAGGCUCUCUGAAUCUCAGAACUCAACAGACAAGCCUGUCUCUGAGUGAAAAACUGUAUCUACCAUGUGCCCAAUGACCAAAAAACAAAUGAUAGCAAAAAUCUCCAAGGUCUCUUCUUAGAUCACAGCUCUUGGAAUCAAGAAGAGCCUAUUGUUGGAGACUAUGAAAUGGGGAGCCCAGAGGUACUGUCCACUUUUAGGACAGAACACCACAAGGCAGACACAGACAAGGGACAUCCUGCUGAUCUCUUUCUAAUCCUAGAUUCUCCAAAUCCCUUUAAGUCUCUGCUUUCUUAUUAGAAAAAUAGGAACAAUAAUCCCCAAGUCAUUGUGUAAUUAUGAGGAUUAAAUGAGUCCACACAAUUCCAAAAUUCUUUGUGAACUCAAAAGAAACACAAACAUGAGGUGUUAACUAUAAUAAUUAUUACUCAUCUAUUUCUCAAUCAGGACCCACUCAAUAGUCCCCAGCCACUUCACAGUUUGGGCAGUUCCAGACAUAGAGUACGCAUUCAAUAAACACAGGUUGACUUAAUGAUUGAUCCCAGGACUCCUCUUGGUCAAAUUCUUUGCCUGCCAUCUAGCUACUCAUGACUCAAACAGUAGGACAGGUGGCCACAGGCACAGAGAGGGGUCAUACCAUACCAUGAAGCCAGGGGAGGAAGACUGAGCUAGAUCUGACCCAGUGUGAGCUAGAGUGGACCAGCUCAGGGGUAUUCUGGGAAGGUUAGACAUGUCAUGACCUGUUGGUAACACAUGGGUCCACCCACCUCAGCCCUUAAUGGAUCUGAGUCAUUAGAGUUUUUAUGAUGCCUACUUUUUAGUCUCUUGUCCACCUCUGGUAAAAUGCAUAGCUUCUGUUCAUGGUUCUAAACUGUUCUCACAGAAGUUCAGGUUUGAAUGUUUACUUUGAUGGUUCUCAUCUUUAAAAAAAUACUAUCUGUUGGUUGAAAAUAAUUUGUAUUUACACAUAGAUUCAUCAAAUCAGUGCGAUGGCACCCUGUUCCUCAGUCCACAGCCCAUAGAUUAGGAACCACUGGUCAACUUGAUAUUUGUUUUACAAUAACCAUGUGCUACCAAGAAGAAAUUGCAUCCUUCUCUCAGCGAGUGUAAACUCUCUGACACCAGAAUUCCAGAGUUACCAAACAGGGAAUCAUAGAUUGGAAGGUGAUAAUGGAGGCUAGGACUACAAAAUCGGGGAUGAUUAAGAUUAAAGGGCCUGCCAGAGGGGGAACAAAGCACAUGAGAAGUGUGCUCAUGGAGGUGCAAAAGGGUGAGGAUACAAAUGAAUAUUUUGCAUGUUGGUAAUGCAGGGCCCCUUGCAAGAGCCUUGGUCCCCCAGCUCCACUGCAGUCUAGGAAGGUGCAGAUGGCAAGACAAGCAGAUGGGCAGGUUCGGGAAUAGCAGGGUAAGAGAAGGGAGGGCAGAAAUAAAAGCAAACCGAUAUAAGUGGCAGGUUUGUUCGCACAUGCUUAGAGAGAGAGAAAAGACAGCCAAGCCCAGUGUAACAUGACAGCCUGGCAGGAUUGUCAUUCCCAAAAGCUGGGACACUAAAAUAUUUCAGCCAGUUUUCUGCCUAAACUCUUCAAGGGAAAUACUGCUAACAAAGGCUGCCCAUGUUACAUGCUUAACAUAAUGCAGAAAUUACCAUUCUCCUUUCUUUGGGUAAGACAAAAUGUCACAACCUUUGUCUCUACGGCACCAACACUGUGGUCACCAGCUGGAGGCUUCUACAUUUCCACUCUUAUUUUCUCACUACACACGUAUGCAUGUAAACACGUGACCAUACACAUACAUACAAACACACCACAUGAACACACACACACACACCCACACACAGCAGCAACACAGCCAUCUGGACAGACAUGCUCUCCUACGACACCUUUUUUCUUCUCAGUUCUGACAGCUUAAACUCAAGAUUCAUAUGCCAUCAAAGAUGCCUAAGAUGCCUGGUUUUAAAAGAAGCAGAAUGAGUCUGAGGGUGGGGAGGUGAGUAGAAAAGGAUGGAGUAGAAAAGAGGAGGUCAGGGAGGGGGAGAUACACAGAGGAAGAGAGAGCAGAGAUAGAUGCUUGGCUCCUGCUAUUCUACUAACAAGCUGUCCUUUUAGAAUUUGUUAAUUGAGAAAAAUCUAUAAUUCCAAAUAGCAUCACGGUCCACUGCCUAUGACCCCCAUUGCCUGUGCAUGUGAUGUUCACUUCCCCUCUGCAGCCUUGCACGGUAACCCCGGGAGAGAGAUUGCUCAUUUUUCUCUAACUCCCUUGGUAUUUACUGCAUGCAUAUAGCAUUUUACCUUGCAGCUUUGUGCUUUGUAUCUAUAUCCUCUAAAUUCUUCAGUUAAUGAGUUUCAUGGGAGGAACAAUAGUGUCCAAGUAUCACUGCAUCCUUCACUGUGUCUAAUCCACAGCGUGGCACACAGUACAUGCUAAAUGACUGUCUCUUAAUGAUGAACGAAUAAAUAAGUGCAUGAACGGACUCGUUAAAUUGAUAUAAAAAUAAACAGAUUCUUGCAAGAGCUGUGAAAAGUAAUAAAGAGAAAAGAUCAGAAGAGUGUAAGAUUCAGAAAUAAAGAGGAAGAAAAUGUGUUCUGAGCUAUGCAUCCCACAAGGAUGUGCUGGCUAUCAGGAGCGAUCUAUUGCCAUCUAUCUGAGGUCUCAACAGCAGCAUAUCAUUCAUCAGAGCAAGCUAUAAAGGAGAAUACACUUUUGAACUACAUAGAUUUAAUUGGAAAAUGAAGGUAAUAUUGAUUUUAUCAUAUGAUCUCUGGAAAAUUUCUGUCAUUGGGUUUCCAUAAAGCAUCAUUUGUCGUCCUGUUCUCAAAGUCUUUCAGUGCCUCCACUCACUCACCAUCUGUCUGUCCAUCCAUCUGUCCACCUACCUAGCCCUCUGUCCAUCUGUCCAUCCAUUUACACAAUCCUCUGUUUGUCCACUCACACACCUGUCUGUCCAUCUCUUCAUCCAUCUUUCCAACAGGAUUUGUUGAGCUCAGGCUGGAUGAAGAGCACUAGGUCCUAUUCUGGCUUGGAUAUACCUCUUUGCUUUUGUGCUGGGCACAAGAAAAUCCCCUAGUCUGCAGCUCAUUCUCAGAAGCGCAACACUACACCUGCCUGCUCUAUGUGAUCACAAAUGCCCAUCACCUGACACCUUCACUCCUGGGCAGAGGCCUGACAGUACACGGGCAGGAUGGGUGUGGCUGCAGCUGUGUCCCUGCCUAGAGACAAAGAGCCAGCCACACAUCCAAACAGGAGCACAGAAGCCUCC
rnacentral:lncRNA from 1 species